rnacentral:rRNA from 1 species
ACGUAGGGUGCAAGCGUUAAUCGGAAUUACUGGGCGUAAAGCGUGCGCAGGCGGCUAUCCAAGUCAGUGGUGAAAGCCCGGAGCUCAACUCCGGAAUUGCCUUUGAGACUGCAUCGCUAGAAUUGUGGAGAGGUAAGUGGAAUUCCGAGUGUAGAGGUGAAAUUCGUAGAUAUUCGGAAGGACACCAGUGGCGAAGGCGACUUACUGGACACAUAUUGACGCUGAGGUGCGAAAGCGUGGGGAGCAAACAGGA